UAACUAUCGGUUUAGCUUUAAACUCCGUUUAAAGCAAGUUGUGGAACUGGGCCUAAAGCGUUCUUUUUAUCUAAACCGUGCAAGAGAAAGCGUACUUUUUAGCAGUGCAGACUGCACCAGUUCAGUCAGUAUAGUGAACAGCAGACAAAUACAACACUGGUUCACAUCAGUGCAGAAGUGGCACCAAUAGGCCUUUCAGCAGUGCAGUAAAAACGAACCGGCCUAAUGAUAAAAGAACAUUAAAGUGCAGUAAGCAAUAUGGCGCAUUACGCAUUAUUAUUUGAUUCUUCACAUUUCUUCAGAUGAAGAUUUUAUGAUAAUACCACCGUUACAACCUAUCGUGGAUGAAAAUGAUAACGGUUGGAAAGAAAAUAUCCAGACAGAAUAUCCGAAACUAGGAAAUAAGACAUCUUACGACCAGACAUCUUAAAGACAUCUGACGUCUUAUGUCCCAGGUUUGGACAUUGAUCUUGUAGGGCGCUCUAAAAUUACAGCCGAAAAACAUAUAUUGACUUAUCUAUGGUUUAUAGGGCAUGAAAGUGCAUCAUACAGAGAUGUUGCCGACAGAUUUGGGAUAACACUUAGUGCCUUGUAUAAUAUUAUUAUUAGAGUUACAGAUUUUAUAAUGUCUAUUAUGCCUAAUAUUAUAAAAUAUCCAACUACAGUUGAAAAAAUGGAAACUGCAGCUUUUUACGAAAGAGAAAAAGGAUUCCCUGGUAUAAUAGGUGCUAUUGAUGGUUCUCAUAUCCGAAUUGAUCGACCAUUACAAGAUUCUGAUUCAUAUAUUAACCGAAAACAUUAUUUUUCAUUACAUAUUCAGGGAGUUAUAAAUCAUAAAAUGAAAUUCAUGGAUGUUUUCAUAGAAUAUCCGGGCUCAGUGCAUGACGCACAGGUAUUUCGAAAUUCACCAAUUUGCAACGAUUUGCCUGAACUUUGAGAAGAUAAUUAUUUUUUCUGAGUGAUAGUGCAUAUCCCUGUCUGAAACAACUAAUUGUAUCAUAUAGGGAUAAUGGACACAUGCACAAAGAAAACUUGCAAUCGCAAAUUAAGUUCUUCCCGAGUGAUUAUUGAAAACGCAUUUGGCUGUCUAAAACAGCGUUUUCAACAGUUAUAUCACUUUAAGUUAAGAAACAUAGUGCGAAUGGUUCAGAUCAUACACGCCUGUUGCGUGCUACAUAAUAUUGCAGAUGUUAAUGAUUUACAAUAUUUAGAAGAACAAAUAAAUGAUGAAUAUCCUGAUAUUAAAGUUG